GAAGCGGCAAGAGCUCAAAUUUGAAAUCUGGCCCCUUGGGGGUCCGAGUUGUAAUUUGCAGAGGAUGCUUCGGGUGCGGUCCCCAUCUAAGUGCCCUGGAACGGGCCGUCAUAGAGGGUGAGAAUCCCGUCUGGGAUGGGCGGCCGCGCCCGUGUGAAGCUCCUUCGACGAGUCGAGUUGUUUGGGAAUGCAGCUCUAAGCGGGUGGUAAAUUUCAUCUAAAGCUAAAUACUGGCCGGAGACCGAUAGCGCACAAGUAGAGUGAUCGAAAGAUGAAAAGCACUUUGAAAAGAGAGUUAAACAGCACGUGAAAUUGUUGAAAGGGAAGCGUUGUCCACCAGACUCGCCCGGGGGGGUUCAGCCGGCACUCGUGCCGGUGUACUCCUCUCCGGGCGGGCCAGCAUCGGUUUGGGCGGCUGGUGAAAGGCCCCGGGAAUGUAACACCCUCCGGGGUGCCUUAUAGCCCGGGGUGCCAUGCAGCCAGCCUGGACCGAGGCCCGCGCUUCGGCGAGGAUGCUGGCGUAAUGGUGGUCAACGGCCCGUCUUGAAACACGGACCAAGGAGUCUAACAUCUAUGCGAGUGUUCGGGUGUCAAACCCGUCCGCGCAGUGAAAGCGAACGGAGGUGGGAGCCCCCCCGGGGUGCACCAUCGACCGAUCCUGAUGUCUUCGGAUGGAUUUGAGUAAGAGCAUAGCUGUUGGGACCCGAAAGAUGGUGAACUAUGCCUGAAUAGGGCGAAGCCAGAGGAAACUCUGGUGGAGGCUCGCAGCGGUUCUGACGUGCAAAUCGAUCGU
rnacentral:rRNA from 1 species